rnacentral:misc_RNA from 1 species
AAGUCGUAACAAGGUUUCCGUAGGUGAACCUGCGGAAGGAUCAUUAUUGAAUUUUGAAUGAGGUUGUAGCUGGCCUUUCAACGGGCAUGUGCACGCCUCGCUUCAAUCCACUUACCCCUGUGCACACUUUGUAGGUCGGCUCAAGGGACAGAUUCUUGACGGGAUUUGUUUCGGGCCUUCCUAUGUUUUAUUACAAACGUUUAAAGUUCAAAGAAUGUAGUCGCGUUUAACGCAUUAUAUACAACUUUCAGCAACGGAUCUCUUGGCUCUC